GGCUGGAUUUGAACCAUGAUCUUCAGAUCUCAGCCUCCUGAGUAUCUAGGCAGGAACUACUGGUGCCUGGCUAGUUUUUCACUUGCUAACAUCAGGCCACUCUGAGGUUUACC